rnacentral:lncRNA from 1 species
UGGACACACCUUCUCAUUCAAAAUGUGUUAUAUUGUUUGUGUGACAAAUUGUAAAAAAUAUGCAGAUUUGUGUAGUUCAUCUGUGUUAUUUUUAUAAUUCAGGCAACGGCCGUUCCCAACACCGUCACUAGCUCCUACAGUCACAUCCAUGAAGAGUAACAAGUCGAUGGAUCGACCAGUAAAAUUCACAGAUUGGCCAGAUUGGGAAUAUCACAGGCAACAGCCAUUCCCAACACCGUCACCAGCUCCUACAGUCACAUCCACGAAGAGUAACAAGUCGAUGGAUCGACCAGUAAAAUUCACAGAUUGGCAAUAUCACAGGUAAUUCCAUUCAGAUUAUGAUACUUUCUAGUUUUAUUUAAGUGUAAAAUGUGUUUUUAUUAAUGGUAUAUUUCACAAUUUGUUGUAAUUAAUAGA